UACGUAGGGUGCAAGCGUUGUCCGGAAUUAUUGGGCGUAAAGAGCUCGUAGGCGGCUUGUCGCGUCGAAUGUGAAAACUCGGGGCUCAACUCCGAGCUUGCAUUCGAUACGGGCAGGCUAGAGUUCGGUAGGGGAGACUGGAAUUCCUGGUGUAGCGGUGAAAUGCGCAGAUAUCAGGAGGAACACCGAUGGCGAAGGCAGGUCUCUGGGCCGAUACUGACGCUGAGGAGCGAAAGCGUGGGGAGCGAACAGG
rnacentral:rRNA from 1 species